rnacentral:tRNA from 1 species
GGCCCCGUAGCUCAGCAGGAUAGAGCUGCAGUUUCCUAAACUGUGAGUCGGAGGUUCGAGUCCUCUCGGGGCCGCCA